ACUGCAAUAUAAGCGCCAGAGCUUGCGUGAUGAUUCGUUUUGAUGCUCUACGUAACCGAUGAAUGGGCUGCAUGUUGGAUGUGCGGAUACAGUGGUUAUGGAGAAGCACUCGGGGCGAUCAUACGGGAAGCUGACGAGGUGGAGGUGUUCGAAAUGUUCGGCGGGGGCCUCCCGGUUAUAGCAUGCCAACCGAAAGCUGAGACGCAAAAUGAUUGGGCGACCAUUCAUACAAACGUUCAGCAGGCAUCAAC
rnacentral:ncRNA from 2 species